UUCCAGGCAGUUGGAAUAAUUGCAGCGAUGGGGGAAUCAGUUCGGGACCUGAAAGUUGGCACUCCUGCUGCGAUUAUGACAUUUGGGAGUUAUGCUGAAUUCACAGUGGAUGAUGUACACAAUUCAGGUUCCUGCAAAACAUAUCCUUCCUGUGCCAAGACCAGAUCCUGAAGUUGUUGCUAUGCUUACUUCUGGAUUAACAAGCAUCAAUUGCUCUAGAAAAGGCUAGACAGAUGGAAUCAGGCAAAGUAGUUCUUGUUACUGCUGCUGCAGGAGGGACUGGCCAAUUUGUUGUCCAGCUUGCAAAGUUAGCUGGCAAUAAGGUAGUUGCAACUUGUGGAGGCAAGGAAAAGGCAACACUAUUGAAAGAAUUGGGAGUUGAUCGAGUCAUAGAUUAUAAAGUUGAAAAUAUCAAAAUUGUAUGUGGCUUCGAAUUCAAACUUUUCAUCUUUCAUUUAGUUUUCUUUCCAUGUUAUAAUGUGUAAAAGGAGUGCCAGGUUGAGUUUCAAGUCAUGAGAAUUACUGGCUCAAAAAUUACCCAAUAAAUUCAUUUGAGAAUUUAGAUACCCAAAUUCCAGUGAUUUAAUUUAUAUAACAAUACUUUGCUCUUGGUUAGCUUUUACUUUCUGUUUGGAAUUGACUACUGUGGAAGCAGAAGCACACAUUUCUUGGACCUCUGUGCAAUUAUUGAAAAACCUUUAAGCACAAGUUUGAUUCCUUUAAGAUUUAUUCUCAAUAUUCUUAUAAUGCAAUACUAAGUAAUCUGUUUCUUACUUGUCUAUGUCACUUAAAUGAAUCUCGAACAAUGUUGUAGUGGAUUUCUAAAUUGUGUGAAGUAAAAGAUAUUCGGUAAAAUCAAACAUGUGAAAGGCCUCUAAUUUUAGUAGCGACUUACAUAAAGGACUGGGAUGUAAUUAUGCAUUUUCUUUGCUGUUCUUUCUACCUUUUUAAUAAUAUAUUGUAGAGUUUUAGGAAAUACUUAAGACCUUCUUUUCUAGUAGGUUCUAAAGAAGGAAUUUCCUAAAGGUGUUGACAUUAUCUAUGAAUCUGUUGGUGGUGAUUUGUUUGACCUGUGUCUGAAUGCUUUAGCAGUCCAUGGGCGACUUAUUGUGAUCGGAAUGAUUUCGCAGGUUGUUUUUUCUUCACAAACUUCCUAUAUGAUUGGCAUUUGUUUUUUUUUUUUAAUAUAAAAUUAUUUUCUUUUGUUACCCUUGCAAAGUUUAGGUUUUCUUUCAUCUUCAUAAGAUAAUUACCAUUUUGGCUUUUCUUUUGUGUGGAAAACUAACUUUUUAUGUAAUAUCAUUACUAUGAGAGUUGUUGGACUAAUAUAUCAAGUUAAAAUUUUAUGUGAAAAUGAAGGGGUCAACAAAAUGAUACAUACUCUUAUUCAAAAUUUAAUAAUGAAGAUAUGAUCAACUUGUGAUUAUUAUAAUGUAGCAUUUCACUACUUAUUUAGGUAUUUAUCUUCAAUCUAGGAAAGCUAAACUAAUAUCUUUUUGCAUCAAUGGGCCUUAUAAGUUACGAAUAUCUAACUAUUAUGAAUAGUAAAGUAUGUAUGAAUUUUCACUCUUGGGAUUAGUGUACUUGGCUCUGAUAUUCUUUUUUCAGUAUCAAGGAGAACAUGGAUGGAUGCCAUCAAAUUAUACUGGACUUUGUGAGAAGAUUUUAGCAAAAAGCCAAACUGUGAUAUAGAGAUUAGAGGAGCAGCAGAGUGAGCUGCUGAGGAUUGAGGAGCUACCUACUUUGAAGUUAUCGAGUAUAUUUUAUACCCUGAAUGUAAAAACUAUUUUGAUAUAUGUAAAUGUAUGUAACUGUAUGGACAUGUAAAAUUGGUUAUGAGCAGAUGUAUAAAGUUGUAUAGAGUUGUAUAAAGCUUGUAAUAAAUUUUGGUUUGAAUUUCUCUUAAUGUAAAUUUUUGUUAUGAUAUAUAUAAAUUGUUUUAUCUUUAAUGAAAUAUGAAUGGAAGUAUUUUAUUUUAA